GGAGGGCAGUCUGGUGCCAGCAGCCGCGGUAAUUCCAGCUCCAAUAGCGUAUAUUAAAGUUGUUGCAGUUAAAAAGCUCGUAGUUGAACUUCUGUACGUUCCCAGUUCUGGCUUUGGUCAAGCUGUGGAGCGUGCAUCCGCUUGCAAACUUAGACCGGCCUUCACUGGUCGACUAAGGGAGUAAGCCCUUUACUUUGAAAAAAUUAGAGUGUUUCUAGCAGGCUUUGGCUCGAAUACAUUAGCAUGGAAUAAUGGAAUAGGACUUUUGUCCAUUUGGUUGGUUAUUGGACAUUAGUAAUGAUUAAAAGGGACAGUUGGGGGCAUUAGUACUUAAUAGUCAGAGGUGAAAUUCUUGGAUUUAUUAAAGACUAACUUAU
rnacentral:rRNA from 1 species